rnacentral:lncRNA from 1 species
UAUUUGUACAAACUCAGCUAUUCAGAUUGCAUUUGUAAUUUAUGGUAUAGUGUGUGAGUCAUCCUUUCAUGCAUUCCAAACUAAAGAUUUAAUUUUUUUUAAAACAGGAUUGAGGCAUAGAAGAAAAUUUCCACAUGACGCUCCAGUCCUUCACCCGCAGCUAAAAUAUGAAAGAGUGCCUAUGGAAAAAGCAUUUGGAUUCGCUAGAACCAACUGCAGUGCUUUGGUCCAUCACACAAGGUAAGAACAGUAGCAGUGAACACUCCCCCCAUCUCCCUUUUUGC